AUUGAACGCUGGCGGCAUGCCUUACACAUGCAAGUCGAACGGCAGCACGGAGCCUGCUCUGGUGGCGAGUGGCGAACGGGUGAGUAAUAUAUCGGAACGUACCCAAGAGUGGGGGAUAACGUAGCGAAAGUUACGCUAAUACCGCAUACGAUCUAAGGAUGAAAGCAGGGGAUCGCAAGACCUUGUGCUCCUGGAGCGGCCGAUAUCUGAUUAGCUAGUUGGUGAGGUAAAGGCUCACCAAGGCAUCGAUCAGUAGCUGGUCUGAGAGGACGACCAGCCACACUGGAACUGAGACACGGUCCAGACUCCUACGGGAGGCAGCAGUGGGGAAUUUUGGACAAUGGGGGCAACCCUGAUCCAGCAAUGCCGCGUGAGUGAAGAAGGCCUUCGGGUUGUAAAGCUCUUUUGUCAGGGAAGAAACGGUGAAGGCUAAUAUCCUUUGCUAAUGACGGUACCUGAAGAAUAAGCACCGGCUAACUACGUGCCAGCCGCCGCCGUAAAAC
rnacentral:rRNA from 1 species